rnacentral:rRNA from 1 species
GAUGAACGCUGGCGGCGUGCCUAAUACAUGCAAGUCGAGCGAACAGACGAGGAGCUUGCUCCUCUGACGUUAGCGGCGGACGGGGGAGUAACACGUGGAUAACCUACCUAUAAGACUGGGAUAACUUCGGGAAACCGGAGCUAAUACCGGAUAAUAUAUUGAACCGCAUGGUUCAAUAGUGAAAGACGGUUUUGCUGUCACUUAUAGAUGGAUCCGCGCCGCAUUAGCUAGUUGGUAAGGGAACGGCUUACCAAGGCAACGAUGCGUAGCCGACCUGAGAGGGUGAUCGGCCACACUGGAACUGAGCCACGGUCCAGACUCCUACGGGAGGCAGCAGUAGGGAAUCUUCCGCAAUGGGCGAAAGCCUGACGGAGCAACGCCGCGUGAGUGAUGAAGGUCUUCGGAUCGUAAAACUCUGUUAUUAGGGAAGAACAAAUGUGUAAGUAACUAUGCACGUCUUGACGGUACCUAAUCAGAAAGCCACGGCUAACUACGUG